rnacentral:tRNA from 1 species
GCAUCGGUGGUUCAGUGGUAGAAUCCUCGCCUGCACGCGGGCGGCGCGGGUUCGAUUCCUGGCCGAUGCA